rnacentral:rRNA from 1 species
AUUGAACGCUGGCGGCAUGCCUUACACAUGCAAGUCGAACGGUAACGGGCCUUCGGGUGCCGACGAGUGGCGAACGGGUGAGUAAUACAUCGGAACGUGCCCGAUCGUGGGGGAUAACGAGGCGAAAGCUUUGCUAAUACCGCAUACGAUCUACGGAUGAAAGCAGGGGACCGCAAGGCCUUGCGCGGACGGAGCGGCCGAUGGCAGAUUAGGUAGUUGGUGGGAUAAAAGCUUUCCAAGCCGACGAUCUGUAGCUGGUCUGAGAGGAUAAUCAGCCACACUGGGACUGAGACACGGCCCAGACUCCUACGGGAGGCAGCAGUGGGGAAUUUUGGACAAUGGGCGCAAGCCUGAUCCAGCCAUGCCGCGUGCAGGAUGAAGGCCUUCGGGUUGUAAACUGCUUUUGUACGGAACGAAAAGCCUUCUUUUAAUACAGGAGGGUCAUGACGGUACCGUAAGAAUAAGCACCGGCUAACUACGUG